rnacentral:rRNA from 1 species
GAUGAACGCUGGCGGCGUGCCUAAUACAUGCAAGUCGAGCGAACGGACGAGAAGCUUGCUUCUCUGAUGUUAGCGGCGGACGGGUGAGUAACACGUGGAUAACCUACCUAUAAGACUGGGAUAACUUCGGGAAACCGGAGCUAAUACCGGAUAAUAUUUUGAACCGCAUGGUUCAAAAGUGAAAGACGGUCUUGCUGUCACUUAUAGAUGGAUCCGCGCUGCAUUAGCUAGUUGGUAAGGUAACGGCUUACCAAGGCAACGAUGCAUAGCCGACCGGAGAGGGUGAUCGGCCACACGGGAACUGAGACACGGUCCAGACGCCUAAGGGAGGCAGCAGUAGGGAAUCUUCCGCAAUGGGCGAAAGCCUGACGGAGCAACGCCGCGUGAGUGAUGGAGGUCUUCGGAUCGUAAAACUCUGUUAUUAGGGAAGAACAUAUGUGUAAGUAACUGUGCACAUCUUGACGGUACCUAAUCAGAAAGCCACGGCUAACUACGUG